AACUUAACAGGAAGAAGGUCAGUCGGGCGGGAGGCCGCUGAAACGGCGCUAAUAAACUUAAAAUAGUUGCUUGUUGAACGUCAAUAAUGAUAGAAAGGAAAUAGACGAGAACACACGCCUUCAAACAGUGAAAAUAAUUAUGCUGCUCAACCAUGAAUGGAGACAACAAUCAACAAGCUUACAUGCUAACUCCAAAAGGGCAGAAACCCGAGAUGAGGCCACCACGAGCGUGUCUUCUCGCUUUGGUGCGCAAGCUCAGCCUGCCUCCUGAGUGCACUCGAAAGGAGACUACGUACGAAGACUGUGUGACCUUUUGGGGAUCAUCUUAAAAGGCGACACAGACCUUUGUGUGGCGACACAAAUGAAGACAGAUCCUUCGUGGGAUGAAAAGGGUAAAGCCAUGUAAAGGCCUGUUGACACGUGCAAUUUUUUUUUAGCCAUAUAUGCCAAAGACGAGGUGACCCUGAUGAUUUCCUCCAUGCGUACCUAACGCUUUUUUGUCAGUUGAUCGAUAAACUUCGGAGGAAAGUCAUUUGUGUCACUGUCAAAGAAGUCCAGUGCAUUCGUGCUUCUGUAGUAGCCAAAACAAACCUACCCAGUGUUUGCUGAGUGAUGUACACAGUGAUGCGAGUGUUAGCCUUCAGCUCAAACUGGACCAGAUCUUGGUUCAGGACGUUGACAAAUACAUCUGAUAUCUGCUUAGAAAUGAACAAAAACACCCCCAUAAAUAAACAAUAGGUAUGUUUUCAGUACACAAGGAAGAACUGGACAUAAGAGCCGCUUUUCCACCCCAGGAACUUUUUAAAUUCUAUGAGUUUCCACCAGAAGUUCCCCCAGAGUCCAGAAGAAGCGCAUUGGUGAAACACAUCUUUGAGUGUUUCUAUUUACCCGCAUCUGCAAACUUGUUUAUUUCAUUUGUACCAGCUUCAUUGCAAUCAUUUGGAACAAAAUGAGAGGCUGUAAGAAGUGGGUGGACAACUCUUGGCGUAUCUACAGAGGAACCAAUACGCUUGUACUCGUUGUUUGUUGCGUUCAGUUUGUGUCUGAAAGCCUAUUGGCCUAACACAGUUGUGUUAGUUGUGUGUGUGUGUGUUGAGUUGAGCCUGAAUUGGGUAGUGCGCUUGAACGCAUCAUCAUCGGAACGCAACAGUGCAUGGACAAGGCGGGGACUACAGUGCUUCAGGUAAUACGGUUCCACCAUGGAGAAAAGGAGACAGACACGGAGUCGUUCAAGGGGUGCUUAUACAAUUUCUCCAAAGUUGGCAGGUCUGGUACUUCAGCACUCCAUCUUGUUGACAACAGGCAACAGGGUUAAAGCUAAAGUGAAAUCAACACUGACAAGAACUAUUUUUUUAAUGGGUAAAAAACCUAUUUGGUAAUAAAGUUCCUGGGGUUUUGGUGGAAAAGGGGCUUGUCUUGUCAUUGUCAUCAUUCAUAUAAUAAAGAUGUACUUGAACUUCGGUUAGGGUAUAAAUACUGUACUUUUGGCCUUAACUAUACAUACAACGAUGUAUGCAUGUGUGAAUCAACACAAACUAAUAAUUGUCUAUAAGACAACAAACCUUGCAUUGGCUCUCACUCGAUUGUGCAGUUGCACCUAAUGUUGUGGUCAGUAAGUGUAUAACACUCUACAUACAGAGUAUUGUAUAAAUGUAGCUUCCUACCGUCUGCAUUUCGUUCUGCUCGUUUGGUGUGAGCACAUCAGGCAGAAUGAAAAGCUCCGCUGUGGUUGGAAGUCCAGGAUACAAAGAAACCAGCAACUGAUUGGCAGGAACACCAGAGACCUAAGGACAAAAAAAAAACAAAACACAUAUAGAAAUGAGCAGAAGUGAGAAAUUUGGGUUUUUACAGCUACUUUUCCACAGGACGGUACCUACUGGGCUUGACAUAGCUCUACUCACUAUUGAAGCUUUAAAAGCAGAUACUACAAGGUACUCUUUGCGUGGAGUGGAGUGAGCCUGGGUUCCAAGCUUUCCGAACUAAUACAAUGUGAUUGAUGUAAACCUUCAUUGCGGCAUCAUUUGAGGAUACAUGGCUAGAAAUGACAGCAAUAAACAACAUGCUAACAUUAGCUUACAAUGUUGACACUGCAGUAAUACACUUGAAACCAAGAAGUUUACAUAGACUGUAAAAAUACAAACUUUUUUCUCACUAUUUAAAAUGGCAUCAGACUAAACCUUUGCUGUUUUAGAUCAGGGAGGAACACCAAAUUAUUUCUAUGUUGCAGUUAUGAGAGAGAGAAUAUUUGAGAGAUUACUUUCUUCAAAAUCAAAAGUUUACAUACAACUGUUUAAGUGUUUUGGGUAUCCUCUAACAAGCUUCUCACAAUAGUUUGCUGGAAUUCAGGCCCAUUCCUCCUCACAGAACCGGUGUAGGUGAGUCGGGUUCUAUUACACGCCUUUUCAAGUCUGCCCACAAAUUUUCUAUGGGAUUGAGAUUGUGGCUUUGUGACAGUCAC